rnacentral:rRNA from 1 species
AUAAACGCUGGCGGUGUACAUAAGACAUGCAAGUCGAACGGACGAAGCGUAGGUAUUUAUAUUUAUGCGGAAGCCGUGGCGGACGGGUGAGUAACACGUAAGCAACCUGCCUAUGAGAGGGGAAUAACAGAGAGAAAUUUCUGAUAAUACCGCAUAAGCUGAAGAUAUCGCAUGAUAUAGUCAGAAAAGAUUUAUCGCUCAUAGAUGGGCUUGCGUCUGAUUAGCUAGUUGGUGAGAUAACAGCCCACCAAGGCAACGAUCAGUAGCCGGAUUGAGAGGUUGAACGGCCACAUUGGGACUGAGACACGGCCCAGACUCCUACGGGAGGCAGCAGUCGGGAAUAUUGCACAAUGGAGGGAACUCUGAUGCAGUGACACCGCGUAUAGGAAGAAGGUCUUAGGAUUGUAAGCUAUUGUCGUGCGAGAAGAAAAUGACCAUCGCAGGAGGAAGCCCUGGCUAAAUAUGUGCC